rnacentral:rRNA from 1 species
AACGAACGCUGGCAGCAUGCCUAACACAUGCAAGUCGAACGAGACCUUCGGGUCUAGUGGCGCACGGGUGCGUAACGCGUGGGAACCUGCCCUUAGGUUCGGAAUAACUCCCCGAAAGGGGUGCUAAUACCGGAUAAUGUCUUCGGACCAAAGAUUUAUCGCCUUUGGAUGGGCCCGCGUUGGAUUAGCUAGUUGGUAGGGUAAAAGCCUACCAAGGCGACGAUCCAUAGCUGGUCUGAGAGGAUGAUCAGCCACACUGGGACUGAGACACGGCCCAGACUCCUACGGGAGGCAGCAGUGGGGAAUAUUGGACAAUGGGCGAAAGCCUGAUCCGGCAAUGCCGCGUGAGUGAUGAAGGCCUUAGGGUUGUAAAGCUCUUUUACCCGGGAUGAUAAUGACAGUACCGGGAGAAUAAGCUCCGGCUAACUCCGUG